rnacentral:lncRNA from 1 species
AGAGCAGGAAGGAUUUCCCUCCUGUGUAUUAAAGCAACCACAGCACAAAGGGAUUUCUAUUCAGUUAGAGGUGUUAAGCAUUGCCAGAUUAAUAAAUUUGCUGUGAAUUUUAUUUUUAUUAAAGUAAUAAAUACAAAAUGGCUGGCUUUGAUAUGUCAUUUACUUACAUUUCAUGUAUAUUAAUUACUAAAUGCUGUGAACUUUCAUUUCAGUGUGCAUUCCUAGUGGAAUCCUUAAAGCAACGUUCAGUAAAUCAGUCUGUUAAUCCAUUUAUACCAGAAGGAGACCCAAAUGUACUUACAAAGAAAGAGAAAAGAAGGCCACAGAAGUUGCCAUCUCCUAAACCCACAGCCCUCAGUCUGGCUAGAAUGUAUAUUAAAGACAACCAUGAUGCAGAGAGAAAUGCUUCCAGAAGAGUACAGAUAUGGCGUCCUACUAGUGCCAAAGCAGAAAUUCCACCAGGUCCAGUAUACCAAAAGUAUCCAAAGGUAGUAUGCGUAGGAAAGUCUGUUCCCUCUGUUACAUUGCCAAAGAAAGAGGAAAUCUGUUCAAGCAGAGAGGUACUUACUAAUGCAAUGCCAUUUGAGAAUUAUGCAUAUGAAUUAAUGUGAACACGUUACUUGUGAUUCCUUACAGUGUAUUGUUACUUCAUCUGUUCUAUGUACUAGCAACCAGUUGCUUCAUCUGUUUGUCUUACCAGUGGCUAUCCAAGUACAGUAUUAAAAAGCUUAAACUGGAAUUGCCCCAACUGCUGUUUGGUCCAGGCUGUACUCACCAACAGAAAACUGUGGCAUCACUGCGCAAGACAGUGUCAGCAAAAUACUGCACAGUCUUCCCUAGCGUGGAAAUCGAUGUAAGCAUUUGCAGACUUCAUCUGCCUACAUCAUUGAA